rnacentral:rRNA from 1 species
UACCAGCACCCCGAGUGGCCGGGACGUUUAUUGGGCCUAAAGCAUCCGUAGCCGGUUCUACAAGUCUUCCGUUAAAUCCACCUGCUUAACAGAUGGGCUGCGGAAGAUACUAUAGAGCUAGGAGGCGGGAGAGGCAAGCGGUACUCGAUGGGUAGGGGUAAAAUCCGUUGAUCCAUUGAAGACCACCAGUGGCGAAGGCGGCUUGCCAGAACGCGCUCGACGGUGAGGGAUGAAAGCUGGGGGAGCAAACCGG